GAUGAACGCUGGCGGCGUGCCUAAUACAUGCAAGUCGAGCGAACUGAUUAGAAGCUUGCUUCUAUGACGUUAGCGGCGGACGGGUGAGUAACACGUGGGCAACCUGCCUGUAAGACUGGGAUAACUUCGGGAAACCGAAGCUAAUACCGGAUAGGAUCUUCUCCUUCAUGGGAGAUGAUUGAAAGAUGGUUUCGGCUAUCACUUACAGAUGGGCCCGCGGUGCAUUAGCUAGUUGGUGAGGUAACGGCUCACCAAGGCAACGAUGCAUAGCCGACCUGAGAGGGUGAUCGGCCACACUGGGACUGAGACACGGCCCAGACUCCUACGGGAGGCAGCAGUAGGGAAUCUUCCGCAAUGGACGAAAGUCUGACGGAGCAACGCCGCGUGAGUGAUGAAGGCUUUCGGGUCGUAAAACUCUGUUGUUAGGGAAGAACAAGUACAAGAGUAACUGCUUGUACCUUGACGGUACCUAACCAGAAAGCCACGGCUAACUACGUGCCAGCAGCCGCCGUAAAAC
rnacentral:rRNA from 1 species